AGAAGUAUGGAUGCUGCUGGACUUAGACAGACAGGUGUGUAUCUUAUAGAAGUAUGGAUGCUGCAUGGCCUCAGGUAGACAGACAGACAGGUGUGUAUCUUAUAGAAGUAUGGAUGCUGCAUGGCCUCAGGUAGACAGACAGACAGGUGUGUAUCUUAUAGAAGUAUGGAUGCUGCAUGGCCUCAGGUAGACAGACAGACAGGUGUGUAUCUUAUAGAAGUAUGGAUGCUGCAUGGCCUCAGGUAGACAGACAGACAGGUGUGUAUCUUACAGAAGUAUGGAUGCUGCAUGGCCUCAGACAGACAGACAGGUGUGUAUCCUACAGAAGUAUGGAUGCUGCAUGGCCUCAGGUAGACAGACAGGUGUGUAUCUUACAGAAG